UUAUUACUCCCUUCGUUCGGAAUUACUUGUCGCAGAAAUGAAUGUAUCUAGAUGUAUUUUAGUUCUAGAGACAUACAUAUUCAAGACAAGUAAUUCCGAACGGAGGAACUAUCCA
rnacentral:pre_miRNA from 1 species